rnacentral:misc_RNA from 1 species
UGCCUUCCCAGGUGGUCCAUAUGAUGGAGCCACGUUGGUUGCAAAGAACAUGUUGUUUACAAUCCCCUUGCCCGAUCCGUUGAGAAACAGAACCGGGUCCUCAACCGGGAUGCUAUCUNNNNNNNNNACUGUACUCCGGGGCGGUUUUCUUUGAACCGGUUUAAUGUUCCUUCCCGCAAAGAGCUUAUCGACCUCGGGUUCUUCAACGGCCAGAAUUACUCCAAUUUCACUCUGCAAAA